GGCGUAAAGAGCUUGUAGGCGGUUUGUCGCGUCUGCUGUGAAAAUCCGGGGCUCAACCCCGGACUUGCAGUGGGUACGGGCAGACUAGAGUGUGGUAGGGGAGACUGGAAUUCCUGGUGUAGCGGUGAAAUGCGCAGAUAUCAGGAGGAACACCGAUGGCGAAGGCAGGUCUCUGGGCCACUACUGACGCUGAGAAGCGAAAGCAUGGGGAGCGAACAGGAUUAGAUACCCUGGUAGUCCAUGCCGUAAACGUUGGGCGCUAGGUGUGGGACUCAUUCCACGAGUUCCGUGCCGCAGCUAACGCAUUAAGCGCCCCGCCUGGGGAGUACGGCCGCAAGGCUAAAACUCAAAGGAAUUGACGGGGGCCCGCACAAGCGGCGGAGCAUGCGGAUUAAUUCGAUGCAACGCGAAGAACCUUACCAAGGCUUGACAUAUACCGGAAACAUCCAGAGAUGGGUGCCCCUUUUGGUCGGUAUACAGGUGGUGCAUGGUUGUCGUCAGCUCGUGUCGUGAGAUGUUGGGUUAAGUCCCGCAACGAGCGCAACCCUCGUUCUAUGUUGCCAGCACGUCAUGGUGGGGACUCAUAGGAGACUGCCGGGGUCAACUCGGAGGAAGGUGGGGAUGACGUCAAAUCAUCAUGCCCCUUAUGUCUUGGGCUUCACGCAUGCUACAAUGGCCGGUACAAAGGGCUGCGAUACCGCAAGGUGGAGCGAAUCCCAAAAAACCGGUCUCAGUUCGGAUUGGGGUCUGCAACUCGACCCCAUGAAGUCGGAGUCGCUAGUAAUCGCAGAUCAGCAACGCUGCGGUGAAUACGUUCCCGGGCCUUGUACACACCGCCCGUCAAGUCACGAAAGUCGGUAACACCCGAAGCC
rnacentral:rRNA from 1 species